rnacentral:rRNA from 1 species
CGGAUUGUAGUCUGCAACCCGACCUANAUGAAGCUGGAAUCGCUAGUAAUCGCGAAUCAGAAUGUCGCGGUGAAUACGUUCCCGGGUCUUGUACACACCGCCCGUCACACCAUGGGAGUCGGAAAUGCCCGAAGUCAGUGACCUAACCGAAAGGGAGGAGCUGCCGAAGGUGGAGCCGGUAACUGGGGUGAAGUCGUAACAAGGUACC